GUACACGCUGUGACUAGCAUAUCAAUAAGCGGAGGAAAAGAAACUAACAAGGAUUCCCCUAGUAACGGCGAGUGAAGCGGGAAGAGCUCAAAUUUGAAAUCUUAAAGGGUUUCCCUUUACGAAUUGUAGUUUAAAGAAGUGUUUUCUGUUGAGGUUUUGGUAAAAGUUCUUUGGAAUAGGACAUCAUAGAGGGUGAGAAUCCCGUAUUUGACCUUUACUUUCAACUUUGUGAUACACUUUCAAAGAGUCGGAUUGUUUGGGAAUGCAGUCCAAAAUGGGUGGUAAAUUUCAUCUAAAGCUAAAUAUUGGCGAGAGACCGAUAGCGAACAAGUACCGUGAGGGAAAGAUGAAAGAGAACUUUGAAAAGAGAGUUAAACAGUACGUGAAAUUGUCAAAAGGGAAGCGUUUGACACCAGUGUUGUUUUUCUGAAAAUCAAUUAAAGAACUGUUUAUGCUAAGUUGUUUAGACUUUAUCAGCUAACUGUUUAGUUUUGAGCUUUUCUUUAAUGCACUUUUCAGUUAACAAGUCAACAUCAAUUUCUUUUGCUGUAAAAAAGCUUGAGGAAGGUGGCUUGAGAUUCGUCUUAAGUGUUUAUAGCCUCUUGCCUAUGCAGUCGGAGAGAUUGAGGUCUGCAGCGUAGAUCCUUCGGGGCUAAAUGCAUUUGUGCUAAGUUAUAGCAUUUUAUAGACAACUUGUUGACUAUGAUUUGUCUUGUAGCUUACUCGCUUAUGUUAUUUUACCUACGCUUAGGAUGUUGACAGCAGUAUAGACUGU
rnacentral:rRNA from 1 species